AAUGAUGCCAAUUUCUUUGCCGCCACGGUUUCCGUCACGGUCUCUCGCCUUUUGCACUGUGCUACGAUGUACAUACAAAAUCAUGGUACUUCUUUGAGGCACGGGAGUGGGGAUUUGCCGAUGCUGAUGGCCCAGUUACUGUACGCGGUUUCUGGGGCGGUUGAUUCAACCACGGGAUGUUGCGCCCGCUGGCUUUCAUUUUGACAAGUGCAGCAUUGCCACGGAGACAGAUCAAUCGGUUUUUCCUGCCUAAUAUCUGCGGCGCAAAUGCUCUCCUAAGUGUAAUACGUAACCUGCACCGCACAGUUCUCGUGUGGUGCAUCAUGGUCGUCGUCAGUUAAUGCUUGCGAAAGUGCCUUGAGUACGCGGCGGGAUACUUGGGUG
rnacentral:sRNA from 1 species